rnacentral:rRNA from 1 species
GACAGAGGGUGCAAACGUUGCUCGGAAUUACUGGGCGGAAAGGGCGCGUAGGCGGGAUGGCAAGUCGGUCGUGAAAUCCCUCGGCUCAACUGAGGAACGUCGAUCGAUACUGCCGUUCUUGAGGAUUGCAGAGGAGACUGGAAUUCCCGGUGUAGCGGUGAAAUGUGUAGAGAUCGGGAGGAACACCGGUGGCGAAGGCGGGUCUCUGGGCAAUUCCUGACGCUGAGGCGCGAAAGCGUGGGGAGCAAACGGG